CCUACGGGUGGCAGCAGUCGAGAAUUAUUCACAAUGGGGGAAACCCUGAUGGUGCGACGCCGUGUGGGGGAAUGAAGGCCUUCGGAUUGUAAACCCCUGUCAUGUGGGAGCAAAUUAAAAAGAUAGUACAACAAGAGGAAGAGACGGCGAAAUCUGUGCCAGCCGCCGCGGUAAGACAGAGGGCUCAAGCGUUGUUCGGAAUCACUGGGCGUAAAGGGUGCGUUGGCUGUUUCGUAAGUCGUGGGUGAACGGCGAGGGCUCAACCCGGGGAAGGCACAUGAUACUGGGAGACUAGAGUAAUGGAGGGGGAACCGGAAUUCUCGGUGUAGCAGUGAAAUGCGUAGAUAUCGAGAGGAACACUCGUGGCGAAGGCGGGUUCCUGGACAUUAACUGACGCUGAGGCACGAAGGCCAGGGGAGCGAAAGGGAUUAGAUACCCGAGUAGUC
rnacentral:rRNA from 1 species